rnacentral:tRNA from 1 species
UCCCCUGUAGCUCAAUGGUAGAGUAGCCGGCUGUUAACCGGAUGGUUGUAGGUUCGAAUCCUACCGGGGGAGCCA